rnacentral:rRNA from 1 species
GACGAACGCUGGCGGCGUGCUUAACACAUGCAAGUCGAACGGAAAGGCCCUGCUUUUGUGGGGUGCUCGAGUGGCGAACGGGUGAGUAACACGUGAGUAACCUGCCCUUGACUUUGGGAUAACUUCAGGAAACUGGGGCUAAUACCGGAUAGGAGCUCCUGCUGCAUGGUGGGGGUUGGAAAGUUUCGGCGGUUGGGGAUGGACUCGCGGCUUAUCAGCUUGUUGGUGGGGUAGUGGCUUACCAAGGCUUUGACGGGAAGCCGGCCUGAGAGGGUGACCGGCCACAUUGGGACUGAGAUACGGCCCAGACUCCUACGGGAGGCAGCAGUGGGGAAUAUUGCACAAUGGGCGGAAGCCUGAUGCAGCAACGCCGCGUGCGGGAUGACGGCCUUCGGGUUGUAAACCGCUUUCGCCUGUGACGAAGCGUGAGUGACGGUAAUGGGUAAAGAAGCACCGGCUAACUACGUG